rnacentral:siRNA from 1 species
AAGCUGUGAAUGGUAACCAAAAC